UACGGAGGAUUCAAGCGUUAUCCGGAUUUAUUGGGUUUAAAGGGUGCGUAGGCGGUUUGAUAAGUUAGAGGUGAAAUACCGGUGCUUAACACCGGAACUGCCUCUAAUACUGUUGAGCUAGAGAGUAGUUGCGGUAGGCGGAAUGUAUGGUGUAGCGGUGAAAUGCUUAGAGAUCAUACAGAACUCCGAUUGCGAAGGCAGCUUACUAAGCCAUAACUGACACUGAAGCACGAAAGCGUGGGGAUCAAACAGG
rnacentral:rRNA from 1 species